UGUGUGUACAAAAUGUUUCAACAUCACUCAUUCAUUCCCUUUCCUAUUAUGUAGUGGAAAUAAUAUUUCUUUGCUCCAUAGGUGAAGAAAGAUGCAAGAGUGAGGAUCGUACUGCUAUCACCCCAAGCCGGACUAUUAUCUGUUCCAACAAAAGGAAAAUGAAUGUCUACCAAGCAUCUCAAGCAGAGAACUUUCACCACUCGCCCUGCUUUACAAUUCCAAGAUUCUUUGAAGGGAAGCCAUGAUAGUUGUAGCAGUACUGAUAAAACUGUUAGUGGAAAUAGCUUGCGGAUGUUUAGCUCCCCCACCCCUACUGUUAGCUAUUUGUCCUUACCUGUUAUAAUGGCAGGGAUCCCCCAGCCCAUAACAUAGUAGAACCUCAUGUGUCCAAAAUUUAUGUUUCUCACUUCAGUCAGCAUGCGGUAGAUAUGAAGCUGUUCUACAAACAUCCAAGCAAAUGUGCUCAUGUAGAAGUAGUGCAGAAGAAUGGCUAUCACAGUGCAGACAAACUAGAAAAAAAAAAAUAAAGAGUCCAAUAUGAUUAGUUCUACCUCCACCAAGGCACAAAAAUAUUACAGCAGAAGACCUAGAUGUUGUUAAAGAUGCAAGCAAACAUUAAUAAGAGCCAUAAUCCUCAUUAUUAAGGACCAUAAUCUAAAGAACUAUUUUAGGCACUUCUGAGAUCUUGCAUUUUUUCACCUUUUGACAUCAGGAUGCCAUGCUAUGUUAUAUAAGAACUUAACAAAACCAGCACUGAAUCAGGCCAAAGCCCUAUCUAGCCCUGUCUAGAAUGCUGUUUCCAAAACCAGGUAUGUCUUCAAAGUUCAAAAACAGACAUGAAGUUAAAGGUCUUCUACUCUUGUUCUCCAAAAAAUGGUAUUCAUAAGUAUAAUGCCUCUGAUCUUUGUAGAAGCAUAUACUGUCAUGAUUGCUUCAGAGGGUUCCUUAAAUGCAAAGUUUUUUCUAGGGGUACAAAUCUAAUGCAGUCUGCUAGCAAUUUGCCAACCAACCAAGAACCAAAACAAUAGGGAGAUUAUCAGAUGGUGAAAAAGAACAGGAGGGAAGCAGAACGCUCCCGUCCUUAUCAUGUGGUUGCAGGAAGAUUAUCAGAUGACAUCCCACGAAUCCUGUCCUUCUCCCAGUGAAGUGGAAUGGCCCUUUAACUUUUAAUUGAUGGCAGUUUCCUAUCAAUACAAAAUUAUGAGGUCAUUCCACUUCAAUGACAGGAGAAGGAUGGGAUGAGCGUGAUGUUGCAGGAUGUCACUGAAUAAUCUUCUUGCAAUCGCACAAUAAGGAUGGGAGCAUUCUGCUUCUUUCCUGUCCUUUUUCACCAUCUGAGACUCUCCUAGGAUAUCAGAAACAUUCAUGUACACUAUUUUUGACUGGCUGCAACUUAGUGUUUCAUCUGAACUUAGCUAAACUAUGGGUAGUUUUAACUGACUUGCUGAAACAAGCCAAUUCCUAAUCUAGAUUGGUAGUUGACUUGAUACUAUAGACCACACUUAAAAUUAGCUAUAUUUUAGAUUUCAGAAGCAACACUAAACUGUAGUUAAUGGGAAAUGAAAGUGAAACCUUGCAAUAUUGACUAAGCCAGCAUGGUGUAGUGGUUUGAGCAUUUGACUAUGGCACAGUACAGACCACCAAAAAACAGCAGCCUGCUGGUGCAUCUUUUUCCCCCAGAGGGAAGCCGCAGCCUCCAAACCACGCGGCUUCCCUCCGGCAGAAAAAGAACCCAUGAAAAGCGGGUUCUUUUAAAGCCAGUGGCACACUUGUUAUGUAAGUGCCACGUGGCAACAUGUGGAUGCCGCGCGGCGCUUACGUAACAAUGGUGGCACCCAUGUAUAUAGGGCACCGCCAUUAUUACGCUGCCGCCACGUACUAGGGUUAUGGGGCAUGCAGUCAUUCCGCGCCCGUGCAACCCUAGUAUGUGGCCAGGCCGGCGCAAAGCACCGGUCUAGACCACGCCUAUGACUCUGGGGACCAGGGUUCAAAUCCCCACUCUUUCCAUGGAAACUCACUGGGUGACCUUGGACAAGUCACAUUAUCUCAGCCUUAGAGGAAGGCUAUGACCCCUCUGAACAAAACACGAGAAGCAAGCUGUGUGAUAGAUUUCCUUUAGGAUUGUCAUUAAGUCAAAAACAACUUAAAGGCAAACAACAACAAUGAUGAUGAAGCAGGGGGAUUAGUCUGGCCCUCAGCUUGUCUAAGUUUGUUCCUGUACUGAAACACAUAAUUUAUAUGUCAGAAUACAGGCACAACGUAUUACACUGAAGCACUAAGAAAUGUUGAAUAGAUUCCAAAUUAACCUCCUCAUCUGACCAACAUGUACAAAAAAUAGUCAAGGAGGAGCCAAACUUUCACUGGCAACUGUUCAGUAUACCAUUAUACUUUGAUAGCUAUGAUUUUAGAUGCUGUAGUCUGUUAUUUAGGACACCUCCUCCGCUCCCUAGUUGAAUAUAACUCUAAGGGAUGUUUUCGGUUUCUAAAAUAUUUUUUGUAAAGGUCACAAUAGUGAAAAUUGCUUUUUUCCAGGUAUACAACAAAGAAAAUAAAUAAUUUUUGGCUAUCAGUCAUUCAUGGAUGGCUGAAACCUCUCCUUGCCCUGUGCCUGGUCCUUUAUGGAGUGGUACAAAAGCUAAAUGGAAUGUCAAGCAACUCUAUUUCAUUUGUGCUCCCACAUUCUUUGACUUUUCAUGCUCAUCAGUGUGUGACUCAUUGGACAAUUCUUAUUCCACAAAGAAGGAUUAACAACUGCUUGAAACACACACAGCAGGCUUCUCUUCACAGUCAUCCCUCAGUUUUAAGGAGUGGUCCUUUAGUGUCAAAUAUACAGCUUGCUAAAGAAAAAAAGCUCUGGCAAAUAGUUUAUGGUAUAGAACUAAAAAUAUGUUUGUUAAUCAAUAAAACUGGGGAUAAUUUUUCUUUUUUAAAAAAAAGGCUGCAUUGUUGCUGUCAUAAAGGAAACAUGCUGCUGAAAAUCCUAGCAAAGGUGAAAAUAAAUUUUAUAAACAAAAUAUCUCCUUAAGAAGGCUGUUGAAAAUUAAGCACUAGUAUAUAUUUUCAAAGAAAAAACAACUGGAAACAUAGUACAUCACCUAUAGAACUCCAAAGCUAAUUUGUAAACUCUAAGCACACAUUAAUUUUCACAUUUUAACAAUAAAUCCUUGAAUUGUUAUAUUUCCUCUCAGAUGCAAAGCCACUAUGGGAAAAGUGCAGGCUAAAAGCCUUCCCAUUAAUGUGCUAGGUUACCAAUGCCACACAUGUGCUCUAAAGGGAUAUAUAGCCCAAUAAUAUAUAAUAUAGGCUGAGAUUCCAUAUUGGGAGAUGUAGCUACAGUGACACUACCUUUUAUAUUACUUUAUAAACUGUUUAAAAGGUAUCUUUAAGCUUUAAAAGGAAUCUUAAAUGACCUUUUCAGCUACUCAGCUCCCCCAACAUGGCCAUCUGCAACUUGCCAGAGAGUGCAGUGUGUGAGCCAGGAUAUGUCCAGCCCUAUCCCCGCAGCUGGGUGCACUACUACAGCACUGGUAGCAUCCUGUCACAACAUCAUAGCUCACUUUCCCACUCUCUGGAACAUGGAAAUGGCCAUGUUAGGGGAGGGGGCUAAGCAGCUUACACAGUAGGUUUUGGGAAGACUUCUGGUUGUUGUGUAGGCAAUGGCCCAUAAAAGUGAAUUGUAGUCUUGUGGUCCUGUGCAAAGAGAAACGCAGGAUAUAAAUUAAAUAAACAACAACUUAUGACAUUGUAAUUAGUGAACAGUAUGCCAUACACAUAUGGAUAUCCUAAGAGAUCAUUUCUAGGUCCAACACUAACAAUUGGAAUAGUGGGGGCAGGUAUGUGAGCCCAUGGACCUACUGGAGUUGAUGCAAUGGUCUCCAUCAGUCUCUCUGUCAUUUGCUGAGAUUUGAGGUCCUAGUGAACAGAGAAGCACUGGGCUAGGUAGCUGCAACAGCCACCAACCUAACCACCCCUGCCAAAUUUUGUAUGGGCCCUGUCCCCAAUGUUAUAACAUCACAUCAGGGGCCAGACACAUGUGAGGGGAAUAUGGAGGCUGUUUCAGACAACUGACUCAGGGCUUCCCCCUUCAGCACUAGGCCAUUAAAAGAGGUAAGAAACUGGACUACACCAUCACUAUAUCCCCAAUGUGCAAAGCCAACAUAACUUUUGUUUUUCCUUUUAGGUGUCCAGGAAUGACAGUUCAGCCAAUGGUGGGCAACUACAGUGUUUUGUCCUCACUGUUUGUUUUUGCUGGUGUGCCCAGCUCCACAACCUGAUAAGCUUUACCACUGUGGGAUGCGUAAAGCUGAUCAGCCAGCUAUGGUUCCAUUUCAUCCAUUUCAUGCUGAGUGAGAACAAGACCAAAUGAGGAUUUGGUAGGCAUGCAGGCAGGGGCAUGGUGUUGAUGAUUAGGUUAAAGUGAGGGGGAAAAAAGUAUUAACUUACUGGAUUUUCUGUCUGGUUGAUUCCUAUCAAGAAGACUAACUCUGAGAAAAACAAGGCAGCCACUAGGUUUUUGUGGAUGCUGUGCAGGUUGGAACGUAAUGUUCGGAUCAAGACAAGAAGUAUAAAUGUAAGCAACAAAGCUGCCAGCGAGAUGGACACAGUUGUGUAAGUGAUAAUCUUCAGAGGAAGUGCUUCACCAUUCUGUGGAAUACAAGUAUAAUUUUUUUUGUUAAAUUGCCUUCUCAAAUACACUUUUU